ACGGCAGCGGGGUAGUGCUUGCACUACUGCCGGCGAGUGGCGAACGGGUGAGUAACAUAUCGGAACGUACCGAGCAGUGGGGGAUAACUAAUCGAAAGAUUAGCUAAUACCGCAUAUAUUCUGAGGAAGAAAGCAGGGGACCUUUGGGCCUUGCGCUGUUUGAGCGGCCGAUAUCUGAUUAGCUGGUUGGUGGGGUAAAGGCCUACCAAGGCGACGAUCAGUAGCGGGUCUGAGAGGAUGAUCCGCCACACUGGGACUGAGACACGGCCCAGACUCCUACGGGAGGCAGCAGUGGGGAAUUUUGGACAAUGGGGGCAACCCUGAUCCAGCCAUGCCGCGUGUCUGAAGAAGGCCUUCGGGUUGUAAAGGACUUUUGUCCGGGAAGAAAAGCGCGAUGUUAAUACCAUUGCGUGCUGACGGUACCGGAAGAAUAAGCACCGGCUAACUACGUGCCAGCAGCCGCGGUAAUACGUAGGGUGCGAGCGUUAAUCGGAAUUACUGGGCGUAAAGCGGGCGCAG
rnacentral:rRNA from 1 species